CUAUUAUUAACAUUCGUUUUUAAUUAUAUAUAUACAAGAUUCAUUAAGGAUAAUUUUAAAUUAAUAUAUUAAUGACUCAGCUAAUAACAAAUAAUAAAUCAAUGAUUUAGCUAAAACCUAAUAAAAAUAUGAUAAGUAAGCAAAAUUACCAAAAAUCAUGGAGAACAUGACAAAUAAGCAAAAUCACUUUAUUUAUAGAUUUAGUUUAUGAUCUUAUAUGGGUUUUGGGUUCAAGACAAGUUGAGGGUCAACUAUAUUAAUUUAGACGAAGUUUCCUUUGACAUUAUUUUUCCUUCCAGUAACUUUCAUGUGUCACAUUCGCAUUUAUACGUAUUAAUAUGUAUGUCAACAUCCAUCCAUACGACAAACAAUUUGGCACGAUGUAUCAAAAUCAUAGCAGCUUCUCGCUAUGUUAAAGGGUACGAAAAGCUCAUACAUUGUGAGUGGGACAAGUUUCAGUUUCUUGUUAGGAAGGAAAAAAUCAAAGACCAUUAACACUUUGCCCAACCAGCAAAAUAGGAUACACGAUAACAUGUAUUACAAAACGACCACACCACCAAAUCAUGUGGUAUACAAAAAAAUAAUCCUCAUUUCAGGUUUCUCAAGAGCUUGCGUAAGCCUUUGGGUUGCUACAAAGACAAAUGUUUUUUUUUGAUAUCUAGGUCAUCCAAGCUGUAGUGACUCAACUAAUUCCGGAAACUGGAAAUUGAUUGCUUAUUUGCUUAAUCAUCUUCCAACACGAAUGGAACCCAGAGAAAACUACAUUUUUACAGAACCACUAAACCAACACCAUGCUGAUAAAGACACAAAUGUUUAUCUUUUUCCGCAAAAUCUAUAGUAAGCCAAAGGCUUUCAACACCUUAAUAAAAUAAAAGUUAAAUUCUAAGCCACAGCUUUUACAAGUUUUGAGAAUUAGUUCUUGAAAUUUGGCAUGAGAUUCAUAUGGUAUAUUCAUAUAUUAAUAAUACAUGGUGGCUUGAUAAAAAGUUGUUUUUUUUUAAUUGAUCGUUUCAUAUAUAUCUACGUACUUAUCAUAUGUUUUAAGAAUUUUUUUAAUUAUUUUUAAUAAAACUGUACACUCGACGAUUUAUAAGAAAAUUCAUAAAAGUUGGAUUACGUGUAUCUAUACUAUUAAAAGGGAAGAUGUUCAAAAAAAUCUACUUAUGAAAGGUUAUUGGACCUAUUCACUAGACUUAACUUUUUUUUUGGUCUCACCCUAUAUUUCUCUAACUAUACACUAAUCAAUUACCUUAUAUUUCUCUAACUAUAAAAAUAACCAAUACUCUGAUUUAAUACUCAACUUACUAUAAUACACUAAAGAUUUAUACAUCAAUAUUAUUAAUUCAGAAGCAUUGAUAUAUUUUACCACUAUUUUUCUUUGGAAUAUUAUUUUUGUGCCACUAAACCUAUUAAAAAAACAGAUUAUUUUAUAACUGAUUUAAUAAUCAUACAACCCACGAUCAUUUUUCUUUAACAAAAGCAGUUACUAUAAAAACAUUUGGAUUUAUUGGUAAUUAAAGUCUGAACAAUACCAAACUUUUAAUUCAUAUUAAAUGUUUUAUGACCCAAACUAACAUAAAAACAUGAUGCAAGUACGGUUAACAGAAAGUUAAAAACAUGAUACCAUUCGACGGUCAAAACAUAUUCAUUUCCAAUUACGAUUAGAGAAAUACUUCACAGUACAACAACAAGCUUAAUUAUAUUUCAAAAUUAUAGCUUUUUCUUUGAAAACCUUCAUAGGUUAUUUUUGUGAUAAAAAUCUUUUACAACUGGGUUUAUUAGGAGAAAGGGUUUUGUAUAAAUAUUUUCUCCGGAAAUUAUAGCAUUUUUAGAAUGUUUUUUAUGUUUAAAUAAAAUAUAUUAUUUAUUUUUAACAUUUAUAGGUAACUCAACUAUACUCAACUUAAUAAUAAUUUUAUUUCUAAAACUCAAAAAUUUAAUCUUAAUAUAGUCAUUAUAAAACCUAUAAACUAGAAUGUAUAACAUAAAAACAAUGUAGUUUAUUCAAUUUUAUACCUUAGUAAAAUUUAUAUGAGAAAUUUAAUCAACUUUUGAAAAAUAUUAUCAUGUUAUUUUAGAUUUUUACCAUGUCAUCUGGUAUAGAUUCACGAGUUAAUAUGGGUUUUAGAUUUUAAAGUAUUUUAACUAAUGGAUUUUUAUUAAAUUGAAACUAGAUUAUAUAUGGUGACUGCGUUUACUGGUUUGACUGUGGAUACCACUUAUUGGUGUUUUGGUUCCUUUUAGUGGAAAAUUAGACUGAAUGUUGAGGACUUAUUAAGAUAUUUUUUUAAUAUUUGAAAAAAAUGUUUGAGUAAUUUGUUUUUAUUGGAUAAUUCAGCUUAUAAAUAGUAUAUUUAAGAUAUUUGGUUAUUUAGAAAUUACAUAUAAUUAAUAUUUGUAGAUAUAUAAUUUGUAUUUAAAAAAUUCAGGUAUCUAUUUAUCUUGGUUCUAGAGAUAUAUGAUAUCUUCGGUUAUUUAUAAAUUUUGGUUCAAGUUUGGUUUUAUUUUUUCAAUUUGGUACGGAUUGAUUAUUCGGUUCUGAAUAAUAUGUCUAAAUUUAUAAACUAUCUUAUAUAAAAAUUUAUAUUAAAAAUUAUUAAAUUUAAAAAAUAAACCCGCGCUUUCUAAGCGCGGGUCAAAAUCUAGUGGUUUAAUUAUAAGGUUCAAUAUUCGACAUGUUCCAUUUCCAUAUAUUGAACCAGCUUGGUAACGACUGACGUUUGAGAUUAUAUCCAUCUUGAUGUAUAUGAUCAAGUUGCCUAAUUAGAUUGUGAUUAUACGUAACAGUCAACAAAGUGUAAUGAAAACAUAUGUCUGUCACUAUUGGGAUUUUACAUGGUAUGACGAAUAAUCGCGUGGUCGUAUGUGUAAUCUACAAAAAUGCAAUUUUUUGGAACAUUAAUUAAACAUGUAUAUUAUGCAUUCAAGAUCAUUAUAUGCAGAACAUGUUCUAUUCUCGGACAAACACUUUUCUUCAUUCUUUUAGUUGCCAUACUUUGAAAUUUACAAUUAAAAACAGUAGAGGUCUGCUUUCUAGCGUGGUCCAAUCAGACUGUUCUUUUGUAUUGACAUUAGUUUUGACGAAACGUAACUUCUACUUACGGGUUGAGUUAUACGUUUAGAAUAUGGGACCUCUAUACUAAACAACAUUUUACAUUGUCUUUUUUUUUAAUGGGACUUUGUUCACCUAUCAUCCCUAAAUAAACAUUUAAAUGAAGCGUCAGGUAAUAGUAAAAACACACGUAACAUAUCUGGACUUGGGUUCAAUUUAUAUAUACAGUCCGCGCGUUAACCUAGCUAGAUAACCAUUUUGAUUAUUCUGCCAAACAAGAGGUGAAGAAUAUAUAUAUAUUUUUUUUUUUGCCAAACAAGAGGUGAAGAAUAUUCAUCCUUGUUAUACAUGUCUGUACGGCAAUAUGUCACAUAGUUGAAAGCCAAACCGAAGUCAUACAUAAAAGAUGAUUCAACUAUAUAUCUUAGUCAAUACGUAACAGAUGGAUUAAACUAAAUAUAAUCUCGUGGAAAACAAAAUACAUAACUAAACAUAAUCUCAAAUCUGGUGGCUAGCUAGGCCAGUCAGAUAUAUAUCAGAAUACACAAAUUAGCUAGGUAUGCCAACUACAUUACUACUGACUCACACACUAAAAUCGUAUAUGUUGUUUUCUCUCAAGGAUUACAUAAAAUCAACUAUUUUAUUUCUGAACUUAGCUGCUUGACAUCCUAAACAUUUAUGUAUUUGAGAAGUACAAGUGAAUUAAUUAAUUUAGGCCUAACUCCUGCGUUACCAAAAAGUCCCUUUCUUGGGCAGGACAAUCCAGUAGCUUUGUAUCUCUCCACACUGCCAUCAGAGAGGUUGAACACGCCAUCAAAAGCAUAAAUUUAAUUAAGAAUCUAAUUUUCAGGAAAUCCUUGGCUACAGAGAAAAUUAAGAUUCGGAAAAUCUGAACACAUUUCUAAGAAAAUGUACAUAAUUGUGUUGACAGAAAAAGCAAAAAAAAAAAUUGUUGUUAUUAAACUAAAAGGUUAGUAUGUUAUUAUCAUUUGAAUUUGAUUAAUGUAGGCAUUUUUUUCGCAAGUGAUACUGUGUUGUAACAUUGUGCCUGGCUGUCGACUCUCAUGCACUUUGGCAGUUUCCUCGUCGAGCAUCGCGAGAAAAAAAAAAAACUGUGGAAAACCGGUCCCAGGUUUGAUGAGAUAUUGAGCAGAGAUUACCCUCCCUUGAAGCUGCGGUUAGGCCAAUCCGAGCCGAUA